rnacentral:rRNA from 1 species
AAUAGCUGCAGUAUAAUAACUGUACUAAGGUAGCAUAAUAAUUUGCCUUAUAAAUUGAGGCUAGAAUGAAUGGUUUGACGAAAGUUGAUCUGUCUCUUAUUAAUUUUUUAGAAAUUAAUUUUUAUAGUGAGAAAGCUUAAAUUGUUUAAAGGGACGAGAAGACCCUAUUGAGCUUUAUCAUUUUUAAUAAAAAAAAUUAAAUUUAUUAAAAAAAUGAUUUUGAUUGGGGUGAUCAAGGAAUAAGAAAAUAAAAAAUAACUUCCUUAUGUAAAUAUAUUUGAUAAAAUAAUUAACCAAAUUUAUUGCUAACAAGAAUAAGUUACCAUAGGGAUAACAGCGUAAUUUUUUUAGAGAGUUCUUAUUGAUAAAAAAGAUUGCGACCUCGAUGUUGGAUUAAAAUAACCUUAAGGUGAAGAGGCUUUAUUAGGUAAAUCUGUUCGAUUUUUAAUAUUUU